ensembl:lncRNA
GUUGUGAUGAAAGUGAUUAAAAACCCCAUUCAAAGCUAACUAAGAAAAGAAAAGAAAAGACUUCCUCGUGGUCCCGUGAUUAAGGCUUUGUGCUCCCAAUGCAGGGAGUCCAUGUUCGAUCACUACUCAGAAAACUCAAUCCCACGUGCCACAAUUAAGAACCCACAUGAUGCAGUGCAGCCAAAUAAAUUAAAAAAGCAAAAGAAAAGGUAAGCCUGACUUUAGGCAGAGCUGGGCUCAGAGAGGUAGGAGAUGUACGAGAAUUUGGUGUGUUUAACUCACUCUGCACCUCUCAGCUCUGUUUUAUUCUAAGAAUUUUUUCACAUGGAGCAAAGGAGUCCUAUAUAUAGACACAGGAGCCAGAAGAAUUCCAGUUUCCCACGUUUCACAGCACCUGUGAUCCUAAGAGGCCUGGUUUCUGCCAGCACCUGUGUCAAUUCCUGAAAAAGGACUCUGUGUGUCUCAUCCCCAAACCAGUCAUUCCGGCCACGGAGAUGCAGUAUUGUUACUGACCAGGCUGGGGACACCGUGGCUGCCCAACCCCAAGAGCCAAGGUGAGGCGAGCUUUCAGUUUCCAGAGCCACAGAGACUGAGAAGGAGCAAGGAGUCAUUUCCCAAACAGAUGGCAGGCAGACAAAAAUAACAGAGCAUAUCCAGCUACUUCCUCUCCAUAAGAUCCUCAUGGACUGAUUUUGAUCAUGGAAAGAGUCUCUGAAAUCAGCCCCCUCUGAUCUCUGCCUCCUGGUAUUACAUUGUUCUAUGAUCCCCUCCCUUCCACGUGGGCUGGAUUGAGUGACUCACUUCUAGAGAAGACAAUCUGGUGGAGGCGAUGGUGUCAGUUCUGAGACUGGGUGAUGAAGGACUGCAGAUUCCAUCUUGGUGGCCCCAACUUUUGCUGCCUAUCUCUUGCCUGGUUCCCUUGGGGAAGCUGGCGACCAUGUUGUCAGUCAGCCCCUAUGCAGAGGCUCAGGCUAUAGAUAAUAUUCUGAGCCAUAUCCUGUGAGCUGUCUUAUAGACACGGAAACCUCCCCCAGGUGGAAGAAGUUAACUCUACUGUGAUCAGACUGUAGCCACAACAUAAGCUGCAACAGUUCUGAGAAUUGGCCUCAAAGAAAUGGGAACCCAGGAACUAAAGAUUUGCUGUACUUAAAAUGAUCAAGAAGAAACUGGUCAGACCACUGAUGACCGAUUUCAAGAUGAUCAUCACCACUGACUGUGUCGUUUCUACAUGGAGCCCCCUCCCUCCACCUGUAAAAGCUCUUGCCCGCUGGUUGUCAGGUGGGGGGAGUCAGCCUUUGGGCCUUCGUCCCCCUGCCUCACCAGUUUGCCAGCAUCCAAAAUAAAGCAAGCUUUCCUUUCCACCAACCUUGCCUCUUUAUUGGCUUUUGAGCAGUGAGCAGCUAGGCCCCACUUUUUAUUACAGUGUCUGCAGGGUUAGAUGUUCUGCUGUCUGUAGGAUCUGGAGCAGAAACAGAGGUGAUAGUUCCAUCUUCCCUCCCAGGGUCAAGACCCUUGACACCCCAGUCUGGGACUGGUUUGUUUGCCCUGGAAUCAUGGCCAAGCUAAGUUGGUGCCCUUGUAGCACUAUUAUGGAGGGAUUCUAUGUACCACCUUAAUUUUACACUGAAAAGCUAAGUUUUCUUUUUUUAAAUCUCAACUCAAGAUAAUUCCACAGAGAGAUGAUUAUGGCUUUAUAGCUUUUUUUCUUUUUGCCAUGCAGCUUGUAAGAUCUUAGUUCCCUGACCAGGGAUUGAACUGAGGCCCUUGGCAGUAGAAGUGCCGAGUCCUAACCCCUGGCCUGCCAGGGAAUUCCUAAGAGAAAUGGUUAUUAUGUAUGAUUAUUAGCCUACUUAGAGCAGAAGAGACUUCUAUAUAUAAUUCCAAAGCCAGGGCGGCGGGGGGGGGGGGGGGGGUCAUAAUGAGGAAGUUUGCUAGAUUUUGCUAUAAAAAAGGGGAAAACAUUUUCAAGUUUAAAAAAAUACCACAAAUAAAGCAAACAGGCACCUGAAAAGAAUGGGAGGUACCUGCAAUAUAUAUGGCAGAGGAUUAGGGCUCAUGUUGUUAAUACAUAGAGAGUUCUUUCUAAUCUCCACAAAUAGAAGUUUCUAUUUCUUUUCUUCUUUUGGGGAUAGAGGCAGUGAAAAUGGUUACAUUUGGCACACCAUCCUAGGCUGACUUGAGACACAGCCUCGAAUCAAAUCAGUCUGCCCUGACCCCUGGUAUGAGAACUGUUUACUUUUAUACCAAGGAGAGUGGGGCCACACCGAAGUCCACAUGUGGCCUGUGCCCCGGUCAAGUCCUAGGGGUUCAUGCUGUGGACUGAGCAUCCCACUGAGACGCUGAAACAAAACUCCACAUCAUCUGGGCCCUUGGCGCCUCCACGGUUGUUAAGUGUGUCCGUGACAGGAUCAAGUGUCCUCUUCUUACUCAGGAGCAGAAAAUCAUUAGGGAAGUGUUGA